GGGACGCGGCAGGGAGAAGGGGAGGAGCCAGAGGCGGAGGCUGUUACCAACUGGCUACCUAGAUCCAAGUGAAUCAGGACACUAACUUCUCUCCAAGAUCUUUUACACUUGUGAAACGGCACAGCUCUCUAAACCAAACACUGACAGCAGUUUAAUUUUACAGAUAUAAAAAAAAUCCGAGUCAGAGAAAUCAUCACGAUGAAGUCAGAGGCGAGAAACUGUCAGUGUAUACAGAGUCUUGCUCUGUCGCCCAGGUUGAAGUGCAGUGGUUCGAUCUCGGCUCAAUGCAACCUCUACCUCCCUGGCUCCCGCGAUUCUCCUGCCUCAGCCUCCUGAGUAGCUGAGAUUACAGGCGCCCGCCACCACCCCCGGCUAAUUUUGGUAUUUUUAGUAGAGAUGGGGUUUCACCAUGUUGGCCAGGCUGAUCUGGAACUCCUAGCCUCAAGCAAUCCGCCUUCAAAAGUGUUGGGGAUUACAGGAGUGAGCCACCGCGCCCGGCCUAUCAAUGAAUAAGAAAACUUUUAAAGAACCACAGGAUAGUAUUGGAGGUCAAGUCAAGUAUGUUCCUCUUGGAAAUUUAGUAACAAACUACAUGUUGCUAUCUCAUAAUAGCAGCUAACAUUUAUGAAGUAUUCAUUGUCAUGAGGCACCGUACAUAGAUUUCUAAUUUAAUCCUUACAACGAUUUUAUUAGGGAGAAACUGCUAUUAGACCCAUUUUGUAAAUGAGAAAACUAAGGCACACAAAGUUUAAUGAGGGAACCAGGAUUAAACCUAAGCAAUCUAACUCCAGGUCCCAGAUUUUUUAACCAUUACAGUACUGUUUAAUUUGAUUUGAUAUGUUAAAAGGAUUAAUAAAAUUAAUACAGGUCCAUUCCCU
rnacentral:lncRNA from 1 species